rnacentral:rRNA from 1 species
AUUGAACGCUGGCGGCAUGCUUUACACAUGCAAGUCGAACGGGGUGAGGGGGCAACUCCUCAUUCAGUGGCGAACGGGUGAGUAAUGCAUCGGAACGUGUCCCGUAGUGGGGGAUAACGCCGGGAAACCGGCGCUAAUACCGCAUAUGCUCUACGGAGGAAAGUGGGGGACCGCAAGGCCUCACGCUAUGGGAGCGGCCGAUGUCCGAUUAGCUUGUUGGCGGGGUAAAGGCCCACCAAGGCGACGAUCGGUAGCUGGUCUGAGAGGAUGAUCAGCCACACUGGGACUGAGACACGGCCCAGACUCCUACGGGAGGCAGCAGUGGGGAAUUUUGGACAAUGGGGGCAACCCUGAUCCAGCCAUGCCGCGUGCGGGAAGAAGGCCUUCGGGUUGUAAACCGCUUUUAGCCGGAAAGAAAAGGCACGCCCUAAUACGGCGUGUUCUUGACGGUACCGGCGGAAUAAGCACCGGCUAACUACGUGCCAGCAGCCGCCGUAACAC